ensembl:processed_transcript
AUGCAAAGAAAGUUAUCAGAGCAGUGGAAGGAGCCACUGUCCAUCUUCCCUGCCAUUUACCUUCUGUAGAGAGUCUACAGGUUACAGUAGAGUGGAGCAUCAAUACAACCAGUAGCAAUUUUAUUUGUACAUGGAGCAUUGAUAUGUCCAACUCCCUUGUAUCUCCCUUGAAAGAUUGCUUUCCUCAUUUUACAAUAACCAGUAAGCCUGUUACAUUAGAGAUCAAAAAUGUUCAGCCUGGUGACUCUGGUAAAUACAGCUGUAAAACAACUACAUUAAUUCCACCUCCGUCAGUGGAAGAAAGCUCAUCUCUGAUUCUCCAAGUCGCAGGUCUGUCCCUGAAGCCACUGAACAGCACUAAUGACAGCUGUGUUCAUCUGCUCUGCUCUCUUGACUCUGAUCUGGCCAACUUCACCUGGAGCCGAGGAGGUCAGAUGUUACCACUUGUGUCCACAUUUAAUGCUGAUAAUAGUGAACUGCAGCUGUGCAAACCUGACUGGAGUGGAGGAGACACAAUCACCUGUCACGUCAACUACUCAGGAACCCAAACCCAAAAAAGCAUCAAAUUCAGCAGAUCAGAAAAUGCUAACAGAG